AUUGAACGCUGGCGGCAGGCCUAACACAUGCAAGUAGAACGAGUGGCGGACGGGUGAGUAAUGUCUGGGAAACUGCCUGAUGGAGGGGGAUAACUACUGGAAACGGUAGCUAAUACCGCAUACCAUCGGAUGUGCCCAUAUGGGAUUAGCUAGUAGGUGGGGUAAAGGCUCACCUAGGCGACGAUACCUAGCUGGUCUGAGAGGAUGACCAGCCACAUGGGAACUGAGACAGGGGCGAUAGUCCGACGGGAGGCAGCAGUGGGGAAUAUUGCAGAAUGGGGUCAAGCCUGAUGCAGACAUGCCGCGUGUAUGAAGAAGGCCUUCGGGUUGUAAAGUACUUUCAGCGGGGAGGCGUUACCCGCAGAAGAAGCACCGGCUAACUCCGUGCCAGCAGCCGCGGUAAUAC
rnacentral:rRNA from 1 species